GACAGCCUUGAUCGUCUUGGACACUAAAACAAUUGCGUGGGCAAUUGAGCAGUGAGACAAAGAUUAGAAGCAAACGGGAAGCUGAAGGGUCUAGCAAAGAGCAGUUAAAAAAAUUAAACACUAUUGUUUCUCAAUCUUACUAAACAAGACUUUCCAAGUAAAUUUAUCCACUGUUACUGAUUGGAAUUCCCACACAAUUUGGCUCAGAGUAAAGAUUGCUUAUUAUAUAUUCAAACAAACGUCAGUACUAUAUUAUACUCUUGAGGAAGUUAUAUAUCAGCAGGAGUUCGUUGACUCUGAAUGCUCGUCGCAACGACUACAAACAUAAAUAUGAAGGGCAUAAGUCUCGUCGUCAUUGGUGUCUUAUUGACAGCUGCUUCUUCGGUGAGUGAAUAAUCAUUACAAGUGUUUCGUUUCUACUGAUGUAUGUUUUUAUAUUGGCGGUUAUAUUUCAGUGUUCGCUUCGGUUUCUAGUCCAAUAUAUGUGCUCGAUACAAUUGUAAAUGCUAAUAGGAGCAGAAAGUCAUUCCGCGAUGUCCUUAGACCAGCAUUUGAAAUGUAGGUUUAUCCUCUACUGCUCUUUUCAAGCGGCAGCUUUACCCGGCUGCUUGUGUGCUGAAUUGACAAUAUUUGACUAUGUGACAAUGUCUAAUAGUACAUACCACUAUAGCUAUAGGUCAGUACUAGGUGUAAUUCCAUCAUGUUGUAUGCUCAGAAUCAGAGAAAUUUGGUCAAAUUCUGAUGAAUUGAAGAAGUUUAUGAGGGACUAGUCAU